rnacentral:rRNA from 1 species
GACAGAGGGUGCAAACGUUGUUCGGAAUUACUGGGCGUAAAGAGCGUGUAGGCGGUUAGGUAGGUCCGUUGUGAAAACUCGAGGCUCAACCUCGAGACGCCGAUGGAAACCAUCUAACUAGAGUCCGGAAGAGGAGAGUGGAAUUCCUGGUGUAGCGGUGAAAUGCGCAGAUAUCAGGAAGAACACCCGUGGCUAAGGCGGCUCUCUAGUACGGUACUGACGCUGAGACGCGAAAGCGUGGGGAGCGAACAGG